UCUCACUGUAAAUAAAAUCCAGCAGUUUUUGUCCAGGGCUACACUGAAGACAACCUGUUCAAGAGAAACAAGCCAACAUGAAAUCCUUGUCUGUGGCUGUUGUCGUGCUGCUGCUGGUGCUGUCGUUACACUGUGAGGACAGUGUGGUGGAUGCAAAAUGCUGUUAUAAUGGAAAAGGACUCUGUAAAUCAUACAGCGAUUGCCGGAGAUUUGGGGGACAUCCUGCCGUUAGAGUAGAAUGUGGUCUGUUCUCAAGGUGUUGUAUAUGACCCAUGGCAAGUAUCAUCAGAGAAUCCAUGGCUCGAUCCUCCAAGAUCAUAACCAAGUCUUAUGGGACGUCACCAAGAGGACUCCAAUCUUACUUCGGACUCCAAUCAAGAAACAGGAAAACUGUUGAUGCUGUGAUAAUGAAGACUUUCAAGCAUCAACAAAAGAUGAUCAUAUUUACUAAAUCAUAAAAUAUUCAUCGUAACUACUGUUUUUUUCUUUAUAGAGAAUCUUGUAAUAGAUUUACUAACAAGUCUAAAGAUUUACUGUACUUCUGAUUUUCCUGAGGAGGUGUCCAAAUCAUAAAUGUUUAAUAAAACUAAAUUGCUUAAAUUAGUAAGACCCUGUGGACUAUGUAAUGUGUUAACUGUAUUAAUCAUUUUGUGGUGGUUAAUAAAUUGUAUUUUAGUGA